AGUAGUGCGUAAAUUCUUGUUGAUAGCAUUACUACCGAUUUCAUCCUCGUAAUAAUAUACAUUUGUUUAUGAACACUGUAAAUAUGUAUUUGUUUUUGUAUGCUCAUAAGUAGCAUGCAUUUUUAUACGACUGCAAAAUUUUGCGUUCGUAUUAAAUUAUGGCAGUUUUCUGCGUCGUCGUACGAAGACAUUUUGGUUUCCAGACAAUUACUUGAGUAUAAGUGUAUGGAUAUCUAUGAAAUUGUAGCACAGGGUUGCAUACCACAAUAGGAAUGUUGGGAUUGAUUUUGGGGAUUAUUGUCUUUGCUGUUUAGGAAUGAGGGGUCAAAAUAGUACCAAAAACAAGCAUUUUUGUCGAGCCUGCGACUUUUGUCGCAGAAAGCUCGACAUAGGGAUAGCGAUCCGGCGGCGGCGGCGUUAGCUAACUUCUUAAAAGCUUUAUAUUUUAGAAGAUGGAAGACCUGGAUGCUUCAUACUUUGUAUAUGGAUGCCUCAUGUUACGAAGUUUCCGUCAGUCACAUGUCCAAUGUCCUUGACCUCAUUUUCAUGGUUCAGUGACUACUUGAAAAAAAAGUUCAGAUUUUUUGUAAUGUUAAAUUCUCUCUUAUUAUAAGUAAUAGGAUAACUAUAUUUGGUAUGUGCGUACCUUGCAAGGUCCUCAUGCCCGUCAGACAGUUUUCACUUGACCUCGACCUCAUUUCAUGGAUCAGUGAACAAGGUUAAGUUUUGGUGGUCAAGUCCAUAUCUCAGAUACUAUAAGCAAUAGGUCUAGUAUAUUCGGUGUAUGGAAGGACUGUAAGGUGUACAUGUCCAACUGGCAGGUGUCAUCUGACCUUGACCUCAUUUUCAUGGUUCAGUGGUUAUAGUUAAGUUUUUGUGUUUUGGUCUGUUUUUCUUAUACUGUAUGCAAUAGGUCUACUAUAUUUGGUGUAUGGAAUGAUUGUAAGGUGUACAUGUCUAGCUGGCAGGUGUCAUCUGACCUUGACCUCGUUUUCAUGGUUCAGUGGUCAAAGUUAAUUUUUUGAGUUUUGGUCUUUUUUUCUAAUACUAUAUGCAAUAGGUCAACUAUAUUUGGUGUAUGGAAAAAAUAUAUGAUCUAUAUGUCAGUCGCGCUGGUUUUAUAUGACCUUGACCUCAUUUUCACGGUUCAUUGCUCAGUGUUAAGUUUUUGUGUUUUGGUCUGUUUUUCUUAAACUAUAAGCAAUAGGUCAACUAUAUUUGUUAUAUGGAAGAAUUGUUAACUGUACAUGUCUGCCUGGCAUGGUUCAUCUGACCUUGACCUCAUUUUCAUGGUUCAUUGGUCAAUGUUUAGUUUUCUUGGUUAAUGUUAAGUUUAUGUGACAGUUGUAAUAAAGCUUUAUAUUUAGGACUAUCAACAUAAUAUCAAUGAUUAGUAAAGAAGGCGAGACAUUUCA